rnacentral:rRNA from 1 species
GCGGAGGAAAAAAAACUAACUAGGAUUUCCCCAGUAACGGCGAGUGAAGCGGGAAGAGCCCAGCACCGAAUCCCCCGGUGUCAUGUCGGCGGGAACUGUGGUGUGUGGGACGCCGGCUGUCGCGGCACCGGGCGCCCAAGUCCUCCUGAUCGAGGCUUCGCCCAGGGCGGGUGUAAGGCCUUUUCAGGCGCCUCGGUGUGCGGCCGCGAGCGUCCCAGGAGUCGGGUUGUUUGGGAAUGCAGCCCAAAGUGGGUGGUAAACUCCAUCUAAGGCUAAAUACAGGCGCGAGUCCGAUAGCGAACAAGUACCGUGAGGGAAAGUUGAAAAGGACUUUGAAGAGAGAGUUCAAGAGUACGUGAAACCGCUCAGAGGUAAACGGGUGGAUCCGUAGGAAAGUCGGCCCGCGGGAUUCAGCCCGCGCGCUCCUCGCCGCGUGCCGGUAUCCGGGAUCGUCAUUCGACCCGGCCCGGUCGCGACAGCGAGGGCGCGCGGGUGCACUUCCCGCGGGCUCCAAGUGGUGGGGACUGGGAAAACCCGUGCCCGCCGACCGCCCCUAGCUGCCGGACCGGAACGCCCAGGGCGCUCGAGUUAGGGUCAGUGGCGAGCGCGUCGGCCUUCCACCCGACCCGUCUUUAAACACAGACCAAGGAGUCUAACAUGCGCGCGAGUCGUCGGGUUGCACGAAACCUUGAAAGGCGCAGUGAAAGCGUGGGCGGGCUUCGCGGUCGCCCAGGUGGGAUCCCUCCUCCCUCGGGAGGGGGGCGCACCACCGGCCCGUCCCGUCCGCGCUGUCGGUGGAGCGGAGCAUGAGCGCGUACGUUGGGACCCGAAAGAUGGUGAACUAUGCCUGAGUAGAGCGCUGCGGGAUGAACCAAACGCCCAGUUAAGGUGCCAGACGCUGACGCUCAUCAGACACCAUAAAAGGUGUUGGUUGAUACAGACAGCAGGACGGUGGCCAUGGAAGUCGGAACCCGCUAAGGAGUGUGUAACAACUCACCUGCCGAAUCAACCAGC